CGGUGGUAAAAAUGGCGUACUAAAGUACAUAGAUAUACAAUAACUACAGGCAUAAGUCAAUGAUGAAAAGGGAAUUAAGUCUUGUGUGCACAUGGGAGCUGUUUUGUCCUUACAUAUACAUUUGUAUAUGCACUCCAUUGUUGAGGUUGCUGCACACGUAAUGCCGGCGUCACUCAUUGGCGAAUAGACCGACAUGCACCAGGUAUACAGAGAAA
rnacentral:lncRNA from 1 species